AUAUCAAUAAGCGGAGGAAAAGAAACCAACAGGGAUUGCCCCAGUAACGGCGAGUGAAGCGGCAACAGCUCAAAUUUGAAAUCUGGCCCCAGGCCCGAGUUGUAAUUUGCAGAGGAUGCUUCGGGCGCGACGCCUUCCAAGUCCCCUGGAACGGGGCGCCUUAGAGGGUGAGAGCCCCGUACGGUUGGACGUCAAGCCUGUGUGAAGCUCCUUCGACGAGUCGAGUAGUUUGGGAAUGCUGCUCAAAAUGGGAGGUAGACCCCUUCUAAAGCUAAAUACCGGCCAGAGACCGAUAGCGCACAAGUAGAGUGAUCGAAAGAUGAAAAGCACUUUGAAAAGAGGGUUAAACAGCACGUGAAAUUGUUGAAAGGGAAGCGCUCGUGACCAGACUUGCGCCGGGGCGAUCAUCUGGCGUUCUCGCCGGUGCACUCGCCCCGGCUCAGGCCAGCGUCGGUUCGGGAGGGGGGACAAAGGCGUCGGGGAUGUGGCUCCCUCGGGAGUGUUAUAGCCCGGCGUGCAAUGCCCCCGCCCGGACCGAGGUUCGCGCUCUGCAAGGACGCUGGCGUAAUGGUCACCAGCGGCCCGUCUUGAAACACGGACCAAGGAGUCGAGGUUCUGCGCGAGUGUUUGGGUGUCAAACCCGCACGCGUAAUGAAAGUGAACGUAGGUGGGAGCCUCGGCGCACCACCGACCGAUCCUGAUGUUCUCGGAUGGAUUUGAGUAGGAGCGUAGGGCCUCGGACCCGAAAGAUGGUGAACUAUGCUUGGAUAGGGUGAAGCCAGAGGAAACUCUGGUGGAGGCUCGCAGCGGUUCUGACGUGCAAAUCGAUCGUCAAAUCUGAGCAUGGGGGCGAAAGACUAAUCGAACCAUCUAGUAGCUGGUUACCGCCGAAGUUUCCCUCAGGAUAGCAGUGUUGUCUUCAGUUUUAUGAGGUAAAGCGAAUGAUUAGGGACUCGGGGGCGCUAUAUUGCCUUCAUCCAUUCUCAAACUUUAAAUAUGUAAGAAGCCCUUGUUGCUUAAUUGAACGUGGGCAUUCGAAUGCAUCAACACUAGUGGGCCA
rnacentral:rRNA from 1 species